rnacentral:rRNA from 1 species
UUUAAAGAGAGUUUGAUCCUGGCUCAGGACGAACGCUGGCGGCGUGCCUAAUACAUGCAAGUCGAACGAACGGAGGAAGAGCUUGCUCUUCCAAUGUUAGUGGCGGACGGGUGAGUAACACGUGGGCAACCUGCCUGUAAGUUGGGGAUAACUCCGGGAAACCGGGGCUAAUA